ACACUGAUCAACCUUAAUGACAUGGGUCAACUCGAAUCACAUAGCAGUCUAAUCAAGAUAUAAUCCAUCAAAUUGGUGAGGUAAGUGAGAUCGGUGGGAAGGUCUGCUAAGCUUGCCUUAGACACCAUCAAAAUGGCCAGGUAAGCUGCUCUAAAUUUAAAACCAUCAGUCAAAAUGCCAAACUUACCUUAUACAUCAAUUGGUUAAUUAGUUUCGAUUUGAUCAACCUAAUGAUUCGGAUUCAACCAUUGAGC
rnacentral:lncRNA from 1 species